rnacentral:lncRNA from 1 species
GUUUGAUGCUUUCUGGUUUACAAUUAUCUGAUGAGUUAAGCCCCUUUCAACUACGUGUUUUGUUUGUUCUUAUGUUGAAUCGUUACACCACUGUCCAAAGUUAGAGGGAAUGUUUGAUGGCGCCAAACUAGUAUAACCCCACCAUAUUAUAUAUGUGUGCCUAUCCCAAGUCAGGAUCAUAUAGUUCAGUGGUUGUCGGUGUCUCCUUAUUUUUAUACAAUUAUUUCAUGGUAUGCAAAUAUAAGUUCUG